rnacentral:misc_RNA from 1 species
CUUCAACCACAAGGUAGAACAAAAAAAAUGGAUUAAUUAUUUUCUUUAUUUUACAAAUUGUCUUCUAUAGGUCUCUGUUAAAUCAUCAUUAAAAAAAAAAUUAUGUUCAUGGGACUCACCUGGUUCAAAUUUGACAGAUGAAACAAGGUUAGAACUUACAUGAUUUUUCUAAAUAAUAAUUAAUGGGAAAUUCAAAUGGUACAGAAGGGGACAUAUUGGAAUCCCCUUGAUAGGAUUUAACUCAUAUUACCUGAUUCCAAAGAAAAAAAUCUACCUACACCAAGCCCUUCACUCCUACACCUGGAAAAUAAACCCAAAGCCAUCGUCAUCCCCCACUCAGUUUCCAUCAAAAUGUCAGACCCUAAACACUCUCUAAUGUUCCACAUGUGAGAAAAGAUGUAUCAUCUCUUCAUACUCAAUUGCAUUGCUCUCCCUAUAGCUGUACAGAUGGUUGGUUUGGCUCCAAACCGAACUCCAGGAAUACGAACCCAUGUAUGAACCAAACUGAAAAAAUUCAAUACAAUUGAAUUUGUUGAUUUUGGGCAUUUUCUGCAGAAAUAAACAGUUAAGAGGAUUUGGGUAAAUUUUCUCAAGAAACAAACAGCCAAAGGUAAGGAAUCCAAAGCAAAAGAAUCAAAUUCAUCAUUCAAAGAAACUCAAACUUCAAUAAUAGAAGUAUCAAACUUCAGGUUAAAAGAAAGGGGGAAUGAACAAUCAAUAAAUAACCCAACAAAUACUCAAAACUUCAACAUAAGACCCAACAAAUAGAUGCUUUCCAGACCAAUAUCUGUAAAAAAACUACAGUUUUCCCAGCCCUCGAUAGAGAUUGAGCACCGUCACCAAAGUUGCCCAAGGGAGGAGCCUGAGAAAGGAGGAGGCGGAUCCAAGGACCAUGAAAACAAGCAGCAAGAGAUGGGUCUGUGGAGUCGAGAACGAGAACAGAGAUGAGAGAGAGGUUUAUCUGCACAUCACUUUCUGAGAAUGAAGAAGAAUAGCAAGAAGAAGAAGAAGAAGAGGGGGGAGAGAGAGAGAGAGAGAGA